GUCGUUGUAGUAUAGUGGGAAGUAUUCCCGCCUGUCACCCGGGUGACCCGGGUUCGAUCCCCGGCAACGGCG
rnacentral:tRNA from 1 species